rnacentral:lncRNA from 1 species
GAUGAUGAAGUAGGAAAUUGCUGGGUUUAUACAGCCAAACCCUUGAAGCUUAUGUUAAAUGGACCUCUAGGUAAAGCAAAAUAUUGCAGUCUGCUCCACUGGGUUUAAUAGCCCCUCAAAAGAAAACAAGGAGAACAAAGCAGGAGGAAAUGAGCAUGAUCUUUACAGUCAGGGUAUUUGGAAAAAGCGACAGAAAUCAGCCGCAGAGAGCACGGAGUCACCUCUGCACUUCGCAAGCCAGCCGCGGUCGGCCCCAUGCCGUUUCUUCUCUUCCUGCUGGCGGCGGAACUGGUGCUCUUGGGAGAAACGCUGAGUUCAGAAUCAAGUCCUGGUAAAUCUAACGCCGUCAAGUUGCAGUGAGCCAAAAACGAGACGCAAGGUGAAGGUGAAUGGAGAACCACGUAGAUAAAGACAAAGUUCAUGCUGCACGGGACCCAAUCGGCCUGAUACCACGCACAUUUUUCCCCCAAAGGGAAGUGGUCAUCAUGGGCCCAGCCUGCCGCAGUGCCCAACUCCAGAAGGAGCACAGACCAGAGAGCGUGGGCUUCAGAAUCAGAUGAGUUGGGGCCUGCGCGAUUUACGUGACCUCCCUCACGCCCGUGUGCCUGCCUACAAACUGGAAAUAAAAACACCCACCUUGUGAGGUUAUAUUUUAAAGUGCCUGUCAAAUAGUAGGGCUGAAUAAAUAUUAUUAUCUGCCUUCUUUCCCUUCCCAAAUUAUCAUUCUGCCAAAAUUUAUUCAUCACCUGGUGUGUGCCAGCCAGAGUCUCCUUUCCGAGCCAAUCAGUGGUAGUGGCAGAGGCUGCCCGCCUUGUUCCUUUCCUGUCUUCUUAACUCAGAAAUACAGAAGGGUUAACAUUUAAUUAAAAGAGGAAGAGAAAAGAAAGAAGAUGAGUUAAAGAGGAGGCAGGGUGGAAACACUGGAUCAGUGGAGAUUGAGGGGUUUUUCUCAAAGUUAUUAACUCUGGUGAAAUUUGUUUCAGAUGUUUCAUUGGCGCUUACGUUAAGCUUCCACUCCAUCUUCAUGUCUCUGGAAGGGCACGCAAGACACAGCCACAGCCGCUGCCUCUGGGGCGGGGAUUGGGCGCUGCGAGUUAGAACUGGGAAGAGCACUUUCUUACCACAUACCUUUAGCCUUGUGUGAAUUUUAACCACGUGCAACUGCUGUGUUUUCAAACAAUAAGAGCUACCAACAGAACAACACCACAGAUUUCUCUCCAGCAAACAGUUUGGGGGCAAUUAAGAGAACUAUCUUACCC